rfam:Ipomoea nil DNA, scaffold: scaffold1101, cultivar: Tokyo-kokei standard.
GGGUGUUUGGUCUAGUGGUAUGAUUCUUGCUUCGGAUGCAAGAGGUUGUGAGUUCGAUUCUCACAACACCCC